rnacentral:rRNA from 1 species
UACGAAGGGGGCUAGCGUUGCUCGGAAUUACUGGGCGUAAAGGGCGCGUAGGCGGAUGUUUAAGUCGGGGGUGAAAGCCCGGGGCUCAACCUCGGAAUUGCCUUCCGAUACUGGACAUCUUGAGUACGGGAGAGGUGAGUGGAACUCCGAGUGUAGAGGUGAAAUUCGUAGAUAUUCGGAAGAACACCAGUGGCGAAGGCGACUCACUGGCCCGUUACUGACGCUGAGGCGCGAAAGCGUGGGGAGCAAACAGG